UACAGAGACUGCGAGCGUUAUUCGGAUUCACUGGGCGUAAAGGGUGCGCAGGUGGCCGUGUGUGUGGGGCGUGAAAGCCCGGGGCUUAACCCCGGAAUUGCACCUCAAACUACAUGGCUAGAGCAUUGGAGAGGGUAGCGGAAUUCACGGUGUAGCAGUGAAAUGCGUAGAUAUCGUGAGGAACACCAGAGGCGAAGGCGGCUACCUGGACAAUUGCUGACACUCAGGCACGAAAGCGUGGGGAGCAAAAGGG
rnacentral:rRNA from 1 species